rnacentral:rRNA from 1 species
UUUAUGGAGAGUUUGAUCCUGGCUCAGGAUGAACGCUGGCGGCGUGCCUAAUACAUGCAAGUCGAGCGAACAGAUAAGGAGCUUGCUCCUUUGACGUUAGC